rnacentral:rRNA from 1 species
GAUGAACGCUGGCGGCGUGCCUAAUACAUGCAAGUCGAGCGAACAGACGAGGAGCUUGCUCCUCUGACGUUAGCGGCGGACGGGUGAGUAACACGUGGAUAACCUACCUAUAAGACUGGGAUAACUUCGGGAAACCGGAGCUAAUACCGGAUAAUAUAUUGAACCGCAUGGUUCAAUAGUGAAAGACGGUUUUGCUGUCACUUAUAGAUGGAUCCGCGCCGCAUUAGCUAGUUGGUAAGGUAACGGCUUACCAAGGCAACGAUGCGUAGCCGACCUGAGAGGGUGAUCGGCCACACUGGAACGGAGACACGGUCCAGACUCCUACGGGAGGCAGCAGUAGGGAAUCUUCCGCAAUGGGCGAAAGCCUGACGGAGCAACGCCGCGUGAGUGAUGAAGGUCUUCGGAUCGUAAAACUCUGUUAUUAGGGAAGAACAAAUGUGUAAGUAGCUAUGCACGUCUUGACGGUACCUAAUCAGAAAGCCACGGCUAACUACGUG